rnacentral:rRNA from 1 species
GUUCCAGGGCCAGGUUGAUCCGCCCUGGGUUAGUCGGGUCCUAAGGCGAGGCCGACGGGCGUAGUCGAUGGACAACGGGUUGAUAUUCCCGUACCGGCGCUUGACCGUUCAAUGUUCGCCGGGGUGAUGCUAACCAUCCCCGAUCCUGUGUGUCUCUUUCGGGAGGCGUGUGGGGGAGGGCGUGGGGUCCGAGCCUGGGUGGGCAAGCGUGGUAACAGGUGUGACGCAGAGUGGUAGUCCAACCGUGUCGUAUGGCUGAGCACGGCUAAGGGUGCAGCCCGUCUCCCAGGUAAAUCCGGGGGGCGUUCGGGUCAGGCCUGAUGGGGACCGUUUGACGGGAAGUGGAUGAUCCUGUGCUGCCGAGAAAAGCAUCGACGUCAGGGCAAGCGCCGCCCGUACCCGAAACCGACACAGGUGGUCAGGUAGAGUAUACCGAGGCGUGCGAGUCAAUCGUGGUUAAGGAACUCGGCAAAAUGCCCCCGUAACUUCGGGAGAAGGGGGGCCCCGGUCUUGACGUCCCCGUGCGGGGCGGAGGGGUCGGGGCCGCAGAGUCCAGGGAGAAGCGACUGUUUAUCAAAAACACAGGUCCGUGCCAAGCCGCAAGGCGAUGUAUACGGACUGACGCCUGCCCGGUGCUGGAAGGUUAAGCGGACCGGUCAGCCCCUCUUUGUGGGGGUGACGCCGGGAAGUUAAGCCCCAGUAAACGGCGGUGGUAACUAUAACCAUCCUAAGGUAGCGAAAUUCCUUGUCGGGUAAGUUCCGACCUGCACGAAUGGCGUAACGACUUCUCCGCUGUCUCGACCACGAACUCGGUGAAAUUGCAGUACGAGUAAAGAUGCUCGUUUCGCGCAGCAGGACGGAAAGACCCCGGGACCUUUACUGCAGCUUGGUAUGGGUGUUCGGCGCGGUUUGUGUAGGAUAGGUGGGAGACGGUGAUCCGCUCGCGCUAGCGGGCGGGGAGUCGCUGGUGAAAUACCACUCUGGCCGUGUUGGGCUCCUAACCUCGGCCCGUGAUCCGGGUCAGGGACAGUGCCUGGUGGGUAGUUUAACUGGGGCGGUUGCCUCCUAAAGGGUAACGGAGGCGCUCAAAGGUUCCCUCAGCCUGGUCGGCAACCAGGUGGCGAGUGUAAGUGCACAAGGGGGCUUGACUGUGAGACUGACGGGUCGAGCAGGUACGAAAGUAGGAACUAGUGAUCCGGCGGUGGCUUGUGGAAGCGCCGUCGCUCAACGGAUAAAAGGUACCCCGGGGAUAACAGGCUGAUCCUGCCCAAGAGUCCAUAUCGACGGCAUGGUUUGGCACCUCGAUGUCGGCUCGUCGCAUCCUGGGGCUGGAGUAGGUCCCAAGGGUUGGGCUGUUCGCCCAUUAAAGCGGUACGCGAGCUGGGUUCAGAACGUCGUGAGACAGUUCGGUCCCUAUCCGCUGCGCGCGUAGGAAUCUUGAGAAGGGCUGUCCUUAGUACGAGAGGACCGGGACGGACCAACCUCUGGUGUGCCAGUUGUUCCGCCAGGAGCACGGCUGGUUGGCUACGUUCGGGAGGGAUAACCGCUGAAAGCAUCUAAGCGGGAAGCCUGCUUCAAGAUAAGUUCUCCAUCCAGCCUGUGUGCUGGGUGAGGUCCCCCGCAGACGACGGGGUUGAUAGGCCGGACGUGGACGCCUCGUAAGGGGUGGAGCUGACCGGUACUAAUGGACCGACCGCCUACACC